rnacentral:rRNA from 1 species
GCCAUAUUAUGUUGAAUCACCGGUUCUCGUACGAUCACCGAAUUUAAGCAACGCUGUGCCUGGUCAGUACAUAGAUGGGUGACCACUUGGGAAUACCAAGUGCUGUAAU